GAGUUCAUCAUCUCGGAGCCGCUGGCCAAUCUGUACUCAUGUGGGGACCAGAACACACUGAUGGAGGAGUUGGCAAAGCAGGCACAGCAGCGCGACAAGAUGCUGUGCAUGCACCACGCGCUGAAGGAGGCAAAUGACAUCAACAGGUGACAUCAACAGGACCACCGUCAGCAUGCCCAUGCCCCCGCCUGUGGAUGACACCUGGCUGCAGGUGCAGAGUGUCCCUGUGCCUUGCAGGUCACCCAAGUCCAGCCCCAGGAUGCCCAGACCCUGCCAUGUCCCUAGCCCGGCCUGGGUGGCGGGCCCAGCUCUUGGGCUUCCUCUUGCCAGGUCCACCCUUGGGGAAGCGUGCCCUGUACCCUCCAGGCUAGAGGCUUCCCCUGAUCCCUUCGGCCCCUACCCCACCAGGUGCACUCAUGCCCCACCCGGGGUCUCCAGG
rnacentral:lncRNA from 1 species